GGCCGGCCUGGCAGGGCAGCUGGGGCGGGCAGCAGGGAGGCAUUUGCUGGGUCUGGGGCAGGGCCAGCACUUUCCCAGCAGCAGGCCUAUCGGACUGACCCCAGCCGCAGGGAGGAGGCGCGGCAGAGGCCUGGAGGUCUGGCGGUGGUUCCGGACAGCCCGCCACCCCCACAGGCCCGGAGGCCUGCGUCAGACCUGCCUCAGGGGCCCGGCCGGACGGCCGAGGGCGUUACCAGGGAGGUGAGCUGUGUGUGUGUGUGUGUGUGCGCGCGUGUGUGUGUGUGUGUGUGUGUGGGCGUGCCCGCACACCCAGGAGAGAGAUGUGUCCAGGCUGGACCCCUGUGCACCCCUGGAGAGAAACACCCACACCCUGAGAUUCUGAGCUUCACAGCAGUUCUAUCCCCAGCCCACCUCCACCCCAGAGGCUGUGCCCCCUGCCAGGCACCCCGUGCCCCGGGUGCCACCCCGCGGCCAAAGAGGCCCUCAGGCCAGCCCGGUCAGGCCAGGCCCAGGUCAGCACCCCAGUCUGCUCUGGGGCAACAGGCAGGUAUGGACAGGCCCCGGGCAGGCACAGGCUGUCCCGGGGACCAAGGCAGCAGGCCUGGCAGGGACUCGGCUGGGCACGGGCAGGAAAGAGGGCAGGAUGCAAGGAGAAAGCCUCGUGUGGGUCCCCGCGCAUCGCGGGGCAGGGCUGGUUGGCUCGGUGACUGGGCAGCAGAAGGCCACCCACGUGCGCUCGCUGGCGGGACCCUCGCCCAGCCCCCGGCGGCGGCAGCCGAGGCCGCCUUUGGGAGGAGCCGGCAGCGCCUCCCGAGUCCCGUGCUGACCAGGGCUGCCCUGCCGGACACGGCCAUCAUCGCCCGCAGAAACCGGGGCCCGGAGAGGCCACAGUCGGCCAUGGCCACAGACACAGUGAGAGGCCCUCAGGCUCCCAGGCCUGCCUCUGCCUGGGGCCGGGCACCCCCGGCUUCAGGCCCAGGGCUCCGCCCAGGUGAGGAGCCAGCACCUUGGACAGAGAGAGGCCAUGCUUCCAAAACUGCCCCCAAACUAGAGCUGGAAGGCCCCUCAGCGCCUCCCCCGCCGCCAAGCUGA
rnacentral:lncRNA from 1 species